UACAGAGGGUGCGAGCGUUGUCCGGAAUCACUGGGCGUAAAGGGCGCGUAGGCGGCCUGAUAAGUAGGGGGUGAAAUCUUGCGGCUCAACCGCAGGGCUGCCUUCUAAACUGUCAGGCUGGAGCACGGUAGAGGCAGAUGGAAUUCCCGGUGUAGCGGUGGAAUGCGUAGAGAUCGGGAAGAACACCAGUGGCGAAAGCGCUCUACUGGGCCACAACUGACACUGAUGGACGAAAGCUAGGGGAGCGAAUGGG
rnacentral:rRNA from 1 species